rnacentral:rRNA from 1 species
UACGGGGGGGAGCAAGCGUUGUUCGGAUUUACUGGGCGUAAAGGGCGCGUAGGCGGCGCAACAAGUCACUUGUGAAAUCUCCGGGCUUAACCCGGAGCGGCCAAGUGAUACUGUCGUGCUAGAGUGCGGAAGGGGCUACUGGAAUUCUCGGUGUAGCGGUGAAAUGCGUAGAUAUCGAGAGGAACACCUGCGGCGAAAGCGACUUUCUGGUCCGUUAAACUGACGCUGAGGCGCGAAAGCGUGGGGAGCAAACAGG